AACAGAUGUUAGUCAAAGGACAGACACACCAUGGGAACCGUUACCUACUCCAUAUCUAUUUUGCAGGAAAUAACAAGUCUGUUUGUCAUCAUCUCGGCGAAACAAAUGUGAAACUUAUAAAUAUGCUGUUUAAAAGGCCUAACAUCCUUAGGGACAAGACUACCAAACACAGAAAUAAAACCUUCAUAGUCUACGAAGGCACUGCUGGACCAAAGCAAGGACACGGACACUUAUAAACGAACGAGAGCUCUACAUCUCUUCAGACAGAUUGCGGUCUAAGACAAAGACAGAUACAAUCUUGACUAGCCUAUUCAGAGGCCACUGGCUGCUCUACGAUGACUGGCCUAUUAUGACGCUAUAAUAUAACCUCUGGCAACAUCAUCACUGUAGUAUCACAAAGGUCACGCAGGACAACGAAUGCCACCGGUGUGCGCGUGAAUUGUGAACGCCACUGGCGGCCAUUGCCUUGGUUUCCAAGGCAACGCACUAACCAUUAAUUUUCAAUUAAAGCAGACAAAGAGCUGACAGCACAGGCUCUAUGGAAGAUGUCAAGAAUCUGUAUUAAUAUACGACAAGUGAGUAUAAUUGUCUGUCCAUUUUUUUAAAACCUCAUCUAUGCUAUCAUUGAAAUGUGAAUGCUGUUGAUAAUUUGAGGGGUGUGCUCUGUGUUUUCCUUUUACCGAAGAGGCAUAUGAUGUGCGUUUCAUAAAAAAAAAAUUCUGGUCCAUCCUGAUACUUUUUCUUGAGGGUAGCAAUUAUUUGUAUUGUUUUUGCUGUUAUUUCUGGCUCCGCCGAGAUCUAUAUGCAGGCAGUCGGGUGUUUGAAAAGCAGACAGGCGGGUUGAUGCAGAUCUGAACACUCUGUAGGUAGUGAUUUGCUGUCCAUCACCACAAAGCUUAGCAUAUGCGAUGUGACAGCCACAUCAGGUAAAGAUUCUCCUAAUCAUUAACUACAUAAAAAGCCUUUUUUUUUCCCAAAAAAAGAUGAUGUGUACAAACUUUAUAAUGAUACUCUCACAGAUAAACUAGGCUACUUCAAACUCAGGCUUUUAAUACAGUGAAAAUACAAAGCUUGUAGCUUUGUAACCAAGCCCUCAUGUUUAGAAAUUUUAAAUUACCUACAGCCUUAGUGGCGGUUUGUUUGUUUCAAAGAAAACAGUCUCUCGCUGAGCAGAAAUAAAGCCACGGCACAAAAUGUUAUCAAACUUUCACCUGUUCUGCUCAAUUACGGCUCUGUGAAACAGGAGCCCUUUAAUGGUCUGUUAUCAGACGAGUCUGCAUGUGGGCAAAGUGGGCAGAGAGGAAGUUGUGGCGCCCAUGGUUUAUUUUCAAAAUCCCCACCUCUGCAUUUGUGUUUUACUGUAGAUAACGGCCAGGCAUCUUGCAACUAAUGACAAGGCCAGACAAACACAUAGAAGGAGGGGUCAGGCUUCUCUGUGACCAAUCAGAAAUUUGCUUUACGACUUAGGAAUUGUGAUGUCACUGAAUAUUAAUGACAAUAGUGAAUGAUGUAAAGGAUUUGAGAAAACACUGAUAAGCAAAGAUGUGUGGAGCAUAAUAAAGCCACCUACUGUUGCAGAUUUCUUACAGGAGAAAGAAAAUCGCCUCUGUUUUAAAACCUAUAACCUGGCUCACUGUCUUCUGCUUUUUGUAGCUGUUUAACCUAAUAAGUGACCGAUUUGGA